rnacentral:rRNA from 1 species
GAUGAACGCUGGCGGCGUGCCUAAUACAUGCAAGUCGAGCGAACGGACGAGAAGCUUGCUCCUCUGAUGUUAGCGGCGGACGGGUGAGUAACACGUGGAUAACCUACCUAUAAGACUGGGAUAACUUCGGGAAACCGGAGCUAAUACCGGAUGAUAUUUUGAACCGCAUGGUUCAAAAGUGAAAGACGGUUUUGCUGUCACUUAUAGAUGGAUCCGCGCCGCAUUAGCUAGUUGGUAAGGUAACGGCUUACCAAGGCAACGAUGCAUAGCCGACCUGAGAGGGUGAUCGGCCACACUGGAACUGAGACACGGUCCAGACUCCUACGGGAGGCAGCAGUAGGGAAUCUUCCGCAAUGGGCGAAAGCCUGACGGAGCAACGCCGCGUGAGUGAUGAAGGUCUUCGGAUCGUAAAACUCUGUUAUUAGGGAAGAACAAAUGUGUAAGUAACUGUGCACAUCUUGACGGUACCUAAUCAGAAAGCCACGGCUAACUACGUG